ACUCCUACGGGAGGCAGCAGUGGGGAAUAUUGCACAAUGGGCGCAAGCCUGAUGCAGCCAUGCCGCGUGUGUGAAGAAGGCCCUUCGGGUUGGUUAAAGCACUUUCAGUUGUGAGGAAGGUGGGUGUCCGUUAAUAGGCGGCAUCAUUUGACGUUAGCAACAGAAGAAGCACCGGCUAACUCCGUGCCAGCAGCCGCGGUAAUACGGAGGGUGCGAG
rnacentral:rRNA from 1 species